UCUUGGCUAAAGUGUCUUGGCUAAUGUGUCUUGGCUAAGGUGUCUUGGCAAAGGUGUCUUGGCUAAUGUGUCUUGGCUAAUGUUUCUUGGCUAAUGUGUCUUGGCUAAUGUGUCUUGGCUAAUGUGUCUUGGCUAAGGUGUCUUGGCUAAGGUGUCUUGGCUAAGGUGUCUUGGCUAAGGUGUCUUGGCUAAUGUGUCUUGGCUAAUGUGUCUUGGCUAAUGUGUCUUGGCUAAGGUGUCUUGGCUAAGGUGUCUUGGCUAAUGUGUCUUGGCUAAGGUGUCUUGGCUAAGGUGUCUUGGCUAAUGUGUCUUGGCAAAGGUGUCUUUGCUAAUGUGUCUUGGCUAAUGUGUCUUGGCUAAGGUGUCUUGGCUAAUGUGUCUUGGCUAAGGUGUCUUGGCUAAGGUGUCUUGGCUAAGGUGUCUUGGUUAAGGUGUCUUGGCUAAGGUGUCUUGGCUAAUGUGUCUUGGCUAAUGUGUCUUGGCUAAUGUGUCUUGGCUAAGGUGUCUUGGCUAAGGUGUCUUGGCUAAGGUGUCUUGGCUAAGGUGUCUUGGCUAAUGUGUCUUGGCUAAGGUGUCUUGGCUAAGGUGUCUUGGCUAAGGUGUCUUGGCUAAGGUUUCUUGGCUAAUGUGUCUUGGCUAAGGUGUCUUGGCUAAGGUUUCUUGGCUAAUGUGUCUUGGUUAAUGUGUCUUGGCUAAGGUGUCUUUGCUAAUGUGUCUUGGCUAAUGUGUCUUGGCUAAGGUGUCUUGGCUAAUGUGUCUUGGCUAAGGUGUCUUGGCUAAGGUGUCUUGGCUAAGGUGUCUUGGCUAAGGUGUCUUGGCUAAUGUGUCUUGGCUAAGGUGUCUUUGCUAAGGUGUCUUGGCUAAGGUGUCUUGGCUAAUGUGUCUUUGCUAAUGUGUCUUGGCUAAUGUGUCUUGGCUA